AUACGGAGGAUCCGAGCGUUAUCCGGAUUUAUUGGGUUUAAAGGGUGCGCAGGCGGGAGAUUAAGUCGGCGGUGAAAUUUUGCAGCUUAACUGUAAAAGUGCCUUCGAAACUGGUUUCCUUGAGUGUAGAUGAAGUAGGCGGAAUUUGUGGUGUAGCGGUGAAAUGCAUAGAUAUCACGAGGAACUCCGAUUGCGCAGGCAGCUUACUAAACUACUACUGACGCUCAGGCACGAAGGCGUGGGGAUCAAACAGGAUUAGAUACCCUGGUAGUCCACGCAGUAAACGAUGAUUACUCGCUGUUUGCGAUAUACAGUAAGCGGCUUAGCGAAAGCGUUAAGUAAUCCACCUGGGGAGUACGUUCGCAAGAAUGAAACUCAAAUGAAUUGACGGGG
rnacentral:rRNA from 1 species